rnacentral:lncRNA from 10 species
GCAGAGCUGUCGCCACGGCCUGAGGGGCGACGUGGGGACUGCCGCUCACGGAAUCCGGGAGUCGCUAGGAGAGCGGCGCAGGGAAAAGCGAGCUUGGUGCAGCUCUUCUUGAGUAGUCGAGCUACAAGGCGCCUGAAGACCUUCUGGGCCAACUCUUCUUUACCAGUUUACAGAGAGGGAAACUGAGGCGGGGGCGGUGCUCGGGCAGGAUUAGCCCGCAUCCGUCGGCGAGGCUUGCACUGGUGGGGAUUCGUGCGCAGGUUUCCUGCCUCCGGGCUUGGGCUGUCCGCGCCUCGCCACCCACCCCAGGCUCCCGUCGCUCCUCGCCGGCUGGCGCCCAGCUGGGGGGUGCACCGGGAGAGGUGGCGCGGCUCACUUCGGCGCAGUCCCCGGCCCCAGCCUCCACGGUGACCGGCUACCCUGUGACAUCAGGCGCCCAGCACAGGGCCUGGACGCGGGUGCAGGAGAGGGAGUCAGGGAACGGGGAGGAGCAGGGGUCCCCACUGUGUGCCUGGUGCGACAAAAGGCGAGCUGCAGAGAGGUCGGGAGGAGCCGGCAAACACAAGGAUGCCCACCAGGCGCGGAGGGCCUGGGCUGGAGGAGCAUUUAGGAUGCAGAAUCGCGGGAACCUGGCAUGGAGAGAGAGGCCAAGGACUUUUGGCUUGGGCCAGGGCUGUUUGGAGAUGCUUUCAACAAGUGGAAGAAGAUUGGGCACAGAAAAUGUAGACUGAAUGGAACACUGAGGCAGGAGCAGGUACUCCUCCCCCUCCCUCAGCAGCAGCCAUCUCCCCCAAGAGGGGCCAGGAUGGGAGGCCAGGAGUACAGUGGCUCAGUGGGGGAGCUGAAGUCCUGGGGAACCAGCCAAGCCCCACACACCCUAGAAAUCCAGGAGGCCCAGCUAGGUGAUUCUGCCCGCAGCCGCAGGGUUCCCAUGCCAGUCCACUGGGAUCUUGUGCCAUGUAAUUGAGGGGGCGCCAGAUCUAAGGAUCAGUGAACUAAUGUGUGCCAUGACCCAGUGUGAGUUGAGAUCAAUAAAUGUCUUUGCUUUGCUAUUAUUAUUCUCUGUGGCUAACAUAGGGCCUGGCACAGAGCAGGCAGUCUGCAAAUAUCUGUUGAAUAAACGGAGAGAAGGAUAGAGGGGAGGGGAGAGUGCUGGCACCUGGCACUCCUGGAUCAUAGCCUGAGAGGUAGGCCAGGCACCCACCUGCCGUAGGUACACCCUGCUGCCACUUGCCCUCUAAGGAGCUCUCGGUCAGGCUCCCCCGCAGCCUCUGUUUCCUCCCUCUGUUUCCAAAGGCUCCUGAGAACCUCCCAGGGGUGCCAUGAUUUCCCCCACACAGCCUGGUGAGGACGGCAGGGAGCCCUCACACCUCUCUGCCAAGACCCUGUGAGCCAGAGGGUGGAUGUGGGUGCCCCAUUCCAGACUGGUUCCAGAGCCCAGGACAAGGGGCUGGGGAGCCUUAACAGUUCUCAACCUGGAAGGGCCUCGGGGCCAUGUGGUUCCAACAUCUUCUUUCACAAGGGCAGAAACCAAGGCCCAAAGACAUACUGCCUCAAGUCACCCAGCAAGUUAGUGACAGGGUGGGGCUUGAGCCAGGUCUUUUCUUUCCUUCCUGCUCCGUGUCUGCUGAACUGGGACUUCAGCGAAUCUGCUGGUUGAAUUGAAUCGAUUGAAACAGACUUGGUUCUCUGUCCAUGGUACUACAGGCCAGGUGUGACCUCAGGCAACUUGCUUGCCCUCUGUGUGCCUCAGUUUCUAUAUCCUUCAACUCACAGUGCAUACAUACCCCUUAGGAUUCUCAAACACCUUCAGUGUGCUGGGCUUUCUAGUCCUAGUGAAGAAGAUAGACAAGAAAUCAUUUCACAUGCCACAAGAUUCAUUCUAGAAAAAUGCUGCCCCUCUUAUUUUUUAGCAGGCCUGGUGGGGUGUCAGGGGGUCUUCAAGGGGCUCAUGGACACAGGGAGGCCCCAAAUAUGUCAAACCAAGGUCCUUUAAAGGUUUAUUAAAAGGGGACCGGGCGCG